rnacentral:tRNA from 1 species
GGGGUUGUGGCCCAGUGGUAGGGCACUUGCUUAGCAUGUGUGAGGAACUGGGUUCGAUUCUCAGCAACACAU